rnacentral:rRNA from 1 species
UACGUAGGGUGCGAGCGUUGUCCGGAAUUAUUGGGCGUAAAGAGCUCGUAGGCGGUCUGUCGCGUCGAUCGUGAAAACUUGGGGCUUAACCCUGAGCUUGCGGUCGAUACGGGCAUGACUGGAGUUCGGCAGGAGAGACUGGAAUUCCUGGUGUAGCGGUGAAAUGCGCAGAUAUCAGGAGGAACACCGGUGGCGAAGGCGGGUCUCUGGGCCGAUACUGACGCUGAGGAGCGAAAGCGUGGGGAGCGAACAGG